rnacentral:rRNA from 1 species
UACGUAGGGUGCAAGCGUUAAUCGGAAUUACUGGGCGUAAAGCGUGCGCAGGCGGUUUCGUAGGUCUGUCGUGAAAUCCCCGGGCUUAACCUGGGAAUUGCGAUGGAGACUGCGAGGCUAGAGUUUGGCAGAGGGGGGUAGAAUUCCACGUGUAGCAGUGAAAUGCGUAGAGAUGUGGAGGAACACCGAUGGCGAAGGCAGCCCCCUGGGUCAAAACUGACGCUCAUGCACGAAAGCGUGGGGAGCAAACAGG